rnacentral:rRNA from 1 species
AGAGUUUGAUCAUGGCUCAGAACGAACGCUGGCGGCAGGCCUAACACAUGCAAGUCGAGCGCACCUUCGGGUGAGCGGCGAACGGGUGAGUAACGCGUGGGAACGUGCCCAAAGGUACGGAAUAGCCUCGGGAAACUGAGAGUAAUACCGUAUGUGCCCUUCGGGGGAAAGAUUUAUCGCCUUUGGAUCGGCCCGCGUUGGAUUAGGUAGUUGGUGGGGUAAUGGCCUACCAAGCCGACGAUCCAUAGCUGGUUUGAGAGGAUGAUCAGCCACACUGGGACCGAGACACGGCCCAGACUCCUACGGGAGGCAGCAGUGGGGAAUCUUAGACAAUGGGGGAAACCCUGAUCUAGCCAUGCCGCGUGAGUGACGAAGGCCCUAGGGUCGUAAAGCUCUUUCGCCGGGGAAGAUAAUGACGGUACCCGGUAAAGAAGUCCCGGCUAACUCCGUGCCAGCAGCCGCGGUAAUACGGAGGGGACUAGCGUUGUUCGGAAUUACUGGGCGUAAAGCGCGCGUAGGCGGACUUUUAAGUCAGGGGUGAAAUCCCGGGGCUCAACCCCGGAACUGCCUUUGAUACUGGGAGUCUGGAGUUCGAGAGAGGUGAGUGGAAUUCCGAGUGUAGAGGUGAAAUUCGUAGAUAUUCGGAGGAACACCAGUGGCGAAGGCGGCUCACUGGCUCGAUACUGACGCUGAGGUGCGAAAGCGUGGGGAGCAAACAGGAUUAGAUACCCUAGUAGUCC